rnacentral:rRNA from 1 species
UAGGGAAUUUUGCGCAAUGGACGAAAGUCUGACGCAGCAACACCGUGUGAGGGAUGAAGCAUUUCGGUGUGUAAACCUCUGUCGAUGGUGAAUAAAGCAUUUGGGAGUGGAAAGCCCAGGUGUUGAAUGUAGCCAUGAAGGAAGCACCGGCUAACUCUGUGCCAGCAGCCGCGGUAAUACAGGGGGUGCAAGCGUUGUUCGGAAUUACUGGGCGUAAAGCGCACGUAGGCGGAUUUGUUAGUCAGGGGUGAAAUCCCGGGGCUCAACCUCGGAACUGCCUUUGAUACUGCAAGUCUCGAGUCCGGAAGAGGUGAGUGGAAUUCCUAGUGUAGAGGUGAAAUUCGUAGAUAUUAGGAAGAACACCAGUGGCGAAGGCGGCUCACUGGUCCGGUACUGACGCUGAGGUGCGAAAGCGUGGGGAGCAAACA